UUGUCGCUCAUAAGCUAGUUUCAGAGAUUCCUCCAUUUUCUAUGUAUUGAGAAAAAUAUCGACUUCUCUUAACAGUGCUUGGAGCGUCGUAAUUAAAAAUUCGUGCUUCGACUUCUGUAUACUAGAGUUACCAAUUAGCACAAAUUCCCUCACGUUUUUAAGAACAAUGCGCACAACGGAGGAGAACAGCUCAGGAGUUAAUGUGCCGCUGUUGUUAAAUACUGAUAAUGUCAUAGUCCGAAGACGUGAAGUAGCUCGCGAUAAUAGUUGAAGACGAGAAAAUGAUAGCUGUUCCUCUUUUAUGAUUAACUUGGAAAGAACAUGAAUAAAUGCUAAAAGAUGAAUUGAAGAACAAUCAUCUAGUGAAUAAUCAGGCACAUCUUGUAAUGACCGGAAUGCUUCAAUAGAGGGAUCCUUCGUGAAGCAAAUUAACGCCUCUUUAUUCUUAGAAAUGCGAACCAAUUCCAAAACUUUUUUCGAUACUGCAAAUGACUCAGAUUCUUCAAAAUUAGAAGAGGAUGUUGGACUUUGAUCGCUAGUUUCUAAUCGCUCAAUCAUUAAGAGUUUUUCAAGCUUUUGGUUAAUGUUUCCUAUGCGGUUUGAAAAAUCGCACAACUGCCUAUUACUGCUUCUAUAAGUGGAUGUUAAGUUUUCCAAGUCGUUUGCCAAAAAUCCAGUUUCUAGGAAUCCUACCUCAAGAAGAAAAGGUUUUGAAUGUAUCAAUUUGAAAAGAUCAGAAAUUUCAUCGGUUGCAGCUUCUGAAAUAGUCUGCUCCAACAAUUUCAUGUAAGAGUUCUUAACAACCAAUUCCACUCGACUAUGCAAGCUUUCAAAUUUUGCGUGGAUUCUACUUUUCAUGACUGAAGAGAUAUUUUCUCUAACCUCAUUAGGAUUUUGAGGAACGUAUUGAUUGAAGAAUGGCAUGGAGGGAUAACAAACUGAUCCCAAAGACUCUGUAAGAUUUUGUGUUGUGGAAUCAUCCUUAGAUUUUGCACAAUUUUUUAAAUCUUGACUCAAAGCCCUUAGCGUGUUAUUAGACUUUAAUCCCGAAGUUAAUGAUGCCCUAGCUAAAAUUCGCUUGUCAGAAUUAGGAUAUUCCAAAGAAGUGCCCUCGUCAAAUUUGGAAUCGCUUUCUAUGCAGAACUGAAAAUAUCCAGAACUUAGUGCCAAAAUUAGUUCAAGUUUGGAACUAUCACAGCCAAUUAAGGUGACAAAAACAAUGCUAUGAUCCACCACCUCAUUCGAUAUUACUUUAUUAAUAUAACCAGAAUCUCCAAAACGCUUGCCUUUGGAAACAGCAGAGAUCAAAGCUGCAGUGU